AUUGAACGCUGGCGGAAUGCUUUACACAUGCAAGUCGAACGGCAGCACGGACUUCGGUCUGGUGGCGAGUGGCGAACGGGUGAGUAAUGUAUCGGAACGUGCCCAGUCGUGGGGGAUAACGUAGUGAAAAUUACGCUAAUACCGCAUACGAUCUAUGGACGAAAGCGGGGGAUCGCAAGACCUCGCGCGAUUGGAGCGGCCGAUAUCAGAUUAGGUAGUUGGUGGGGUAAAGGCCCACCAAGCCAACGAUCUGUAGCUGGUCUGAGGGGACGACCAGCCACACUGGAACUGAGACACGGUCCAGACUCCUACGGGAGGCAGCAGUGGGGAAUUUUGGACAAUGGGCGAAAGCCUGAUCCAGCCAUUCCGCGUGUAGGAUGAAGGCCCUCGGGUUGUAAACUGCUUUUGUACAGAACGAAAAGGUUUCUACUAAUACUAGGAGCUCAUGACGGUACUGUAAGAAUAAGCACCGGCUAACUACGUGCCAGCCGCCGCCGUAA
rnacentral:rRNA from 1 species